GGGGUUUAUAUGUACAAAUUGAUUUGGAAACAAAUUUAUAUGGAAGAGAUAUGAAGUAAGAAUAUAGAGUGUAUUUUGCUGUUAAUGAAGUUGAACAAUGUAUGAGGUAGAGAUGAGCCCACUUUGUCAUCCCACUUUGCCGUUCUCCUUAGUACAUCAUCCAUGCUCCUUUUCUUUCGCAGGAUUUCUCUUUUUUUUCUCUGUGGGGAGGGAAAUAUGAGGAAGAUUUGGUUGUUUUCCUUUGUAUAUUCAAUGGAAUACCAAUUGAACAUUUUUCUCUCCUCAAACUAUGCUCUUGGGCAACAGUAGUGUCAAAGAUGUUUAUGGCCAUGUUGCACUCGGUAUGCUUUGGAUCCAAACAAUAAAAUGUUCAUGACUCAUGCUCAUGCUCAUGCUCAUGCUCAUGCUUUGGAUCCAAACUAUAUAAAUUCCAUUUUUAAAUCCUUUUCUUUGAUUUUUGUCAUUUUUUCGGCUUCUAUAACUGAUUCAUGAAUAUUAAUUUUCCUUAAUUCUUUUGAUUUUA